rnacentral:lncRNA from 1 species
AUGAUUCAUCUGGGAGUCUGGAGAGAAAAAGCAGAAACCAAGUUGAGCUUCACAGAGAUCCUGACCCUUUUAGACGAGGAGAUGAGAGUAGGCAAAAGGAGAAAACAAAUGAGACGCGGGAAGGAAGAAGGAAAGAAGAAGGCAAAGCCUCUUAGCCUGGACAGGAACGUGAGCAGGAGACGUAACUGGCUUUGCUGAAGGGAGCGAAGACUCCUGUCUCCCAUUUCAGUCCUGUCUUACUAGACGCUAAAUACAGGUAAAUUACAGAAGGCAUUGGAUCAGCAUCAAGCCCCUGGUGGUCUUACAGUAACUAGUAUCCCUCCUCUCUAUAAAAUAAUAUUUUAUUUAAAAAAUGCUGGCUGCAGCCGAGUAUGCUUUUAUUAAGAGUUCCUGCAAAUCACAGGCUUGUCCUUUCACUUUGAGACUGAGAGAGGGAGGGAGGAAGGGACCGAGGGAGGGAAAAUGCUGUUAAGUCCACAAAAAUGUGGACAACCUCAGAAACCUAUAAACAGAAAUAUACUAACAUGGUGUAUUUCCUACUUUUGAAGCCCUGAAAUUUUUAAUUUUCCCUUCUUUCUGUGCGAUUUUGGUUUCCAAAUGUCUACAUUAAGCAGGCGUUGUUUUAUGAUUAGGGCGAAAUUACUGCUGCUGCUGCCGGUGAUCAUGAUGAUUGCAAAAACUAGGCUGCAAACAAGCUGUGCUUCCAUUUAAAAGCUCUUCUUUGCUGCCUCGGCAAACAAGGGGUAUUCGAUGGCACUUUUUGGUUAGAUUCAAAUAAAAAGAGGCCGGGCGUGGUGGCUCACGCCUGCAAUCCCAGGUGGGUGGAUCACGAGGUCAGGAGUUAGAGACCAGCCUGGCCAAAAUGGUGAAACCCCGUCUCUACUAAAAAUACCAAAAUUAGCCGGGCGUGGUGGCGGGCGCCUGUAAUCCCAGCAACCUGGGAGGCUGAGCCACGAGAAUUGCUUGAACCUGGGAAGCGGAGGUUGCAGUGAGCCGAGAUCUCGCCACUGCCCUCCAGCCUGGGCGACAGAGCAGCCAGAUUCCGUCUCAACAACAACAAGUUUUAAUAAAUGAGAUCUUUGCUAAGAGUAGAAUAAAAAAAGGAAAAAAAAAAAGUUUUACAUUUCCCUCUGGAAGCCCUUUGCCAGCCAGGGCUUUCCCUGCCGCCUGCUCUGCAGGUAAGGAACGGUGGGGCUGGCUGGAGGGCCGCAGGCAGCCGCGGACCCUGACGCCCCCUGUCCCGCCC